rnacentral:rRNA from 1 species
UACGUAGGAUGCAAGCGUUGUUCGGAAUUACUGGGCGUAAAGAGUACGUAGGCGGUUUGAUAAGUCUGAUGUGAAAGCCCUGGGCUCAACCUGGGAAUUGCAUUGGAUACUGGCAGGCUAGAGUGCGGUAGAGGAUGGCGGAAUUCCCGGUGUAGCAGUGAAAUGCGUAGAGAUCGGGAGGAACAUCUGUGGCGAAGGCGGCCAUCUGGACCAGCACUGACACUGAGGCACGAAAGUGUGGGGAUCAAACAGG